rnacentral:tRNA from 1 species
GGGCCCGUAGCCUAGCUGGAGGGGCGCUGGCCUUCUAAGCCAGAGGACCCGGGUUCGAAUCCCGGCGGGCCCG